GACGUAGGGUGCGAGCGUUGUCCGGAUUUAUUGGGCGUAAAGAGCUCGUAGGCGGCUCGUCGCGUCGACCGUGAAAACCCGCGGCUUAACUGCGGGCUUGCGGUUGAUACGGGCGGGCUAGAGUUCGGUAGGGGAGACUGGAAUUCCUGGUGUAGCGGUGAAAUGCGCAGAUAUCAGGAGGAACACCGGUGGCGAAGGCGGGUCUCUGGGCCGAUACUGACGCUGAGGAGCGAAAGCGUGGGGAGCGAACAGG
rnacentral:rRNA from 1 species